GCGAAGCAAAGCGAAGAAAGACGAAAUGUUUGAUGAUAAACCUGUUAAAUGUCAGUUUGCUGAGCAGCUGGAGAGGAACUACGUUAGAUACCCAAUGUGGAUUUGAUCUAUGGGUUGACAACAAAAUGACCAAGAGGCAGGAACUGUUGUUCUGUUUCCAUAGAGGUGAAAAAUGAGCCACAGUGAAGAAAAAAAACACCCAGAUCCACCUUGACGUUGAGGGCUGACGUCUUCGCCUGUGACUCUUUGCUCUGGGAGAUAUCUGGGAAGGUCACCAUCAGGUCAGGUAAAAAUCAGAGAGACCAAAACACCAGAGAGAACUUCAGGAGGAAGAAGAGGUCGAAGAAAUAGAAAACCGGAGGAGUGAGAAAGCAGACGAGGUGUCCUGAGGCAAAAACCUGCAGGAAAUGAAGUCAGCAGUCUCAGAAGGAUGUGAAAAGCAGCUGUGAGGCCAAAGAUCUUCAUUCCUUUCAAUGUGAAGUUCUCCGAGGACUGACUGGUCACUGUAAUUAAGCUCUGAUUGGACUCAGAUUCCAGCUUUUCUUGCCUCACAAGCAGCUGAACCUAUAAAAGCAACAGCAGAAGAAGAGAAAGACAUGAUUUAUAUUCAUGAUUUUUCAAUUAAAGGUUCACAGGAGUUGAAAUAAAAACAUGUAAGUGUGAACAAAAAAAGACAGGCUGGCUGGGAUAAGUGGAUUAAUAGGCUUUGUAGCAGUAAAUCCCAGCUUAAGAGUUUCCAUUAAUCACAUUCUGAGGUAAUGUUUUCAAACUAGAUAACGGCAAAAUAGGUUCUGUUUUCUGUCCUGGAUUGAGAGGAUUAAAGAGGAUGUUUGUACAGUAGCAUGCAGGAGAAUGCAGGGUGAAGCCGACACAGAUGGACUGCUGGGACUCUGAUGAAUCAUUCAUCUGGUUUGGAAACAGCAGAG
ensembl:lncRNA